AGUGAGAUAACUGGGUCAAAUGGUGGUUCCAUUUUAAAUUUUUUAAGAAAUCUCCAUACUGUUUUCCAGAGUGGUUGUACCAAUUUGCAGUACCACCAAUUAU
rnacentral:pre_miRNA from 1 species